rnacentral:rRNA from 1 species
CCUACGGGUGGCAGCAGUGAGGAAUAUUGGUCAAUGGCCGGGAGUCUGAACCAGCCAAGUCGCGUGAGGGAAGACGGCCCUACGGGUUGUAAACCUCUUUUGUCAGGGAGCCAAGUGCAGUUCGGGACCUGCUGUGAGAGUACCUGAAGAAACAGCAUCGGCUAACUCCGUGCCAGCAGCCGCGGUAAUACGGGGGAUUCGAGCGUUAGCCGGAUUUAUUGGGUUUAAAGGGUGCGCAGUCGGAGGCACAAGUCAGCGGUAAAAUCGCGGGGUUCAACCCCGCUGCGCCGUUGAAACUGUGUGCCUUGAGUGCGCGAAGGGUAGGCGGAAUGCGUGGUGUAGCGGUGAAAUGCAUAGAGAUCACGCAGAACUCCGAUCGCGAAGGCAGCCUACCGGCGCGCAACUGACGCUCAUGCACGAAAGCGUGGGUAUCGAACAGGAUUAGAUACCCCAGUAGUC